rnacentral:rRNA from 1 species
UACGGAGGGUGCAAGCGUUACUCGGAAUUACUGGGCGUAAAGCGCACGCAGGUGGCUGAGUCAGUCGAUUGUGAAAGCCCUGGGCUUAACCUGGGAAUUGCAGUCGAUACUACUCAGCUAGAGUAUGGGAGAGGGUAGUGGAAUUCCCGGUGUAGCGGUGAAAUGCAUAGAUAUCGGGAGGAACAUCAGUGGCGAAGGCAGCUCGCUGGGACGGUACUGACGCUGAGGCGCGAAAGCGUGGGGAGCAAACGGG